rnacentral:rRNA from 1 species
UGUGCCUACGGGAGGCAGCAGUGAGGAAUAUUGGUCAAUGGACGAGAGUCUGAACCAGCCAAGUAGCGUGAAGGAUGACUGCCCUAUGGGUUGUAAACUUCUUUUAUAUGGGAAUAAAAUGUUCCACGUGUGGGAUUUUGUAUGUACCAUAUGAAUAAGGAUCGGCUAACUCCGUGCCAGCAGCCGCGGUAAUACGGAGGAUCCGAGCGUUAUCCGGAUUUAUUGGGUUUAAAGGGCGCGCAGGCGGAAUGUCAAGUCAGCGGUAAAAUUUCGGGGCUCAACCCCGUCGGGCCGUUGAAACUGGC